rnacentral:rRNA from 1 species
UGGGGAAUUUUGGACAAUGGGCGCAAGCCUGAUCCAGCCAUGCCGCGUGCAGGAUGAAGGCCUUCGGGUUGUAAACAGCUUUUGUACGGAACGAAAAGGUUUGGCCUAAUAAGCUGAGCUCAUGACGGUACCGUAAGAAUAAGCACCGGCUAACUACGUGCCAGCAGCCGCGGUAAUACGUAGGGUGCAAGCGUUAAUCGGAAUUACUGGGCGUAAAGCGUGCGCAGGCGGUUAUGCAAGACAGAGGUGAAAUCCCCGGGCUCAACCUGGGAACUGCCUUUGUGACUGCAUAGCUAGAGUACGGUAGAGGGGGAUGGAAUUCCGCGUGUAGCAGUGAAAUGCGUAGAUAUGCGGAGGAACACCGAUGGCGAAGGCAAUCCCCUGGGCCUGCACUGACGCUCAUGCACGAAAGCGUGGGGAGCAAACA